UGGGGAAUAUUGCACAAUGGGGGAAACCCUGAUGCAGCGACGCCGCGUGAGCGAUGAAGGCUUUCGAGUCGUAAAGCUCUGUCCUAUGGGAAGAUAAUGACGGUACCAUAGAAGAAAGCCCCGGCUAAUUACGUGCCAGCAGCCGCGGUAAUACGUAAGGGGCGAGCGUUGUCCGGAUUUAUUGGGCGUAAAGGGGGCGCAGGCUGCUUCUUAAGUCUGAUGUGAAAGCCCACGGCUUAACCGUGGAAGUGCAUUGGAAACUGGGAAGCUUGAGUACAGAAGAGGAAAGUGGAACUCCAUGUGUAGCGGUGGAAUGCGUAGAUAUAUGGAAGAACACCAGUGGCGAAAGCGACUUUCUGGUCUGUCACUGACGCUGAGGCCCGAAAGCGUGGGUAGCAAACAGG
rnacentral:rRNA from 1 species